rnacentral:rRNA from 1 species
GUCUGCAGCCACACCACCCUAAAUGCAACCAAUCUUGUCUGAUCUCGGAAGCCAAGCAGGGUCGGGCCUUGUUGUGACU